AUGAAUCAACUACAAAGGAAAAGAAGCUAUGGUGGUGGAGUUAUUAAACGGGAGGGGAACAUGUUUGCUGACACGACAGGCAUGGCAGUUGUGAUCCUCUAUCUUAUUACAACUGAAACUGAAAAUCCUAAGUAUAUGACGAAGUGUGACGGGGUUGAGAUGACCCAAACGAGCGUGCUAGAGAUCGAUGCCGGCGGAGAGAGCAACCGGUGCGGUGGUGGAGGAGGACGAAGAAAGCACCGGAUAGAGCUCGUCGAGGCUGUCACAUCGGUGAAGUACCAUCCUGGUUCGAGCGUCCUUGACACAAAAACCAAGCUCGUCAAAUUCAACAGUAACAGGUUUUUCACGAGUUAA
rnacentral:rRNA from 1 species